UACGUAGGGGGGCAAGCGUUGUCCGGAUUUACUGGGCGUAAAGCGCGUGUAGGCGGCUAGAUAAGUCUGCUGUGAAAGCUCUCGGCUUAACCGGGAGAGGUCGGUGGAAACUGUCUGGCUGGAGGACGGUAGAGGGGGGGUGGAAUUCCCGGUGUAGUGGUGAAAUGCGUAGAUAUCGGGAGGAACACCAGCGGCGAAGGCGGCCCCCCUGGGCCGGUCCUGACGCUGAGACGCGAAGGCCAGGGUAGCGAACGGGG
rnacentral:rRNA from 1 species